CCGGGUUGCUGGGUAACGCGGGCAGAGCGCUGCCCGUCCUGGCUCUGCUCACGAACAACCGGGCGUACGGCGGCUCUCGGGAUGGGGGCGGCGGCGGCGCUGACAAGCCGGGUCCAGGCUGGGCUGCUCCUGCUCCUGCUCCUGGUCGGCCAGGUGUGUUGCGAGUAUGGCAUGGUACAUGUUCUUUCAGAGAAGGGGAGCCAUAAAGGAAAGGACUACUGUAUCCUCUUCAACUCUCAGUGGGCCCACUUGCCGCAUGACCUAGGAAAAGCUUCUCUCUUGCAGCUUCAGGAUCAAACAGCAUCUGUCUUGUGUUCUCCUUCUGAUGUACCAGAUGGUGGAUUUCAUAACAGAAUCCCUAUGGUGAUGCGGGGGAAUUGCACCUUUUAUGAGAAAGUCAGGCUUGCUCAGAUCAAUGGAGCCCGGGGUUUGCUGAUAGUCAGUAGAGAGAAACUGGCUCCCCCAAAAGGUAACUGGAGCCAAUAUGAAGAGAUUGAUAUCCCUGUGGCUUUGCUCAGCUACACUGACAUGUUAGAUAUUGGAAAGAGUUUUGGCAGAUCAGUGAAGGUGGCAAUGUAUGCGCCAAAUGAGCCUGUCCUUGACUAUAACAUGGUGAUUAUCUUUGUAAUGGCUGUGGGCACUGUUGCAAUUGGAGGCUAUUGGGCAGGAAGCAGGGAUGUGAAAAAGCGAUACAUGAAGCACAAACGAGAUGAUGGGGCAGAAAAACAUGAUGAUGAAACAGUUGAUGUCACUCCCAUCAUGAUCUGUGUAUUUGUGGUGAUGUGCUGCUCUAUGCUGGUCCUUCUUUAUUUCUUCUAUGACCACUUAGUCUACGUUAUUAUAGGGAUUUUCUGCCUGGCUGCCUCCAUUGGUCUCUACAGUUGUCUGUCUCCCUUUGUAAGAAGAUUCCCAUUGGGGAAGUGCAGAAUCCCUGACAACAACUUGCCAUAUUUUCACAAGCGUCCGCAGGUCCGGAUGUUGCUUCUGGCUGUGUUUUGUAUCUCUAUUAGUGUGGUUUGGGGAGUCUUCAGAAAUGAAGAUCAGUGGGCAUGGGUUUUGCAAGAUGCUCUAGGAAUCGCCUUCUGCCUUUACAUGCUGAAAACAAUCCGCCUACCUACAUUCAAGUGGAAUGUUUGUGUCCUCCAGCUGAUCAUUCUAGGUCUGACCCCUCCAUCUCUUACUGGUUGCACCUUGCUCCUGAUGGUUCUUUUUGUGUAUGAUGUGUUCUUUGUAUUCAUCACACCUUUUCUAACAAAGACAGGGCAGAGUAUAAUGGUGGAGGUGGCUGCAGGCCCGACUGACUCUGCCACUCAUGAAAAGCUCCCCAUGGUCCUGAAGGUUCCAAGGCUGAACUUUUCACCGUUGGCUCUUUGUGACAGGCCUUUUUCCCUCCUAGGAUUUGGAGACAUCUUAGUUCCAGGCUUACUGGUAGCCUACUGCCAUAGGUUUGAUAUUCAGGUGCAGUCCUCCAGAGUCUAUUUUGUAGCCUGCACUAUAGCAUAUGGCAUUGGCCUUCUGGUGACCUUUGUAGCCUUGGCAUUGAUGCAGAUGGGUCAGCCAGCUCUGCUCUACUUGGUGCCCUGUACUCUUAUCACUAGCUUUGCUGUGGCUCUUUGGCGUAAGGAGCUUGCAAUGUUCUGGACGGGCAGCGGCUUUGCGAAAGACCUACCUCAUCCUCCCUUGGUGCUGGCUCCUGUCAGUUGCCCUAACCCCCGCAAAGAUACGAAUGCACCAGCAUCUCAACAAGAAGCAGAACAACAAAUGACCAACCCCACGCUCCAUGCAGAUGAUGGAAAUAACCCUUCCCAGAGUGCAGAGGAGCUGCCUAACUUGAAUACCAAGGAGCUGACCAAUCCCAGCAUUCGAGCAGAACAGCCACAAAUUUCCAUCCCACAAAUAGAACAACAAACCAGUCAGAACAAGAAUGAUCCUGAAAGCAAGAGCCUAACAGUAGAAAAGAACCAGCUGGAUUAGAUGAUGAAAUAGGAAAUCCUCUCUUCCCCUCCCCCCGUCCCUCCCCCAAUCACCAAACUUCACCACAUAAAAUCAGAAAACCAGUAUGUAGACUUGUUCGGUAGCGUUCACAUUCAUUGAGGAACCUCACUGGGAAUCUGAUCAUCAAAUGCAAAGAUAUUCUACCUUUGACUUCAGAUACAGCUAUACAUUUCAAACAGCUUUCUGAAAUAUGGUGCUUUACAAAAAUUCUGAUGUAUAAAUUUCAGUGAUCAUUUUAUUACUUAGAUGCCUUUUACCUUUCCUAUUUCAUUAUACUAGGGUAAUAUUAAGAAUUUUUAUUUAUACAGUACUCUGGGCUUGUGUGGCUGUUGUGCUGCUUUAGUAUAGUGUAGAUUAAUGUGGAGGAUAAGCAUUGGACAAGUCUGCUACAGUGCUGAGAGGGGAGAGAUACUGUAGUUUUAUAGAUUUUCCCUCUUUGAUACUUUUAAAUUUCUGCUUGUAAAAGCCAUUGAUGCAAGUGAAUGGUUUAGUAUAAAUUGACACUCAGGAAAUGUUGAGAACUGGUUAAAUUGUCAGCCUUCUGAAAGGAUUUGUUUUACCAUGGUGCAUUAAAUGCAUCUCUUUCCUCAACAUUUUUUUUUUCCACUUCCAGGUGCCUGGGUUGGAUGAUAUUCUAGUUUAAAAGGCAGGAUGCAUUGAUCUCCAGUAAGCACUCCUAUGAAUUCUAGGGUCUCUCUUUGAAAUAAAACCUUCACUGAGUGGACCUUGCAGAAUAAUACACAGUAGACAAGCUUACUCGAAGUAUCUAUGAUGUUGUUUGGUUUGGUUUGGUUUGGUUUUAAAAGCACCCCACAUCCUUAUUUACCAGAUAAAUCAGAUCACAAAUAGUAACAUUCUGCACAACUUAGUGGUCUAGCAGAGUGGUCUGCAGGAGACUUUAAGCACUGACAUUGAUUUAGGAUGUUCAGCUGGUUUCUUUGACUCUCUGCUUAUUAUUAUUUUUAUGAAUAUAACUUUGAUUUCUAUGGGUUUAUCUACAUUACAAAUAUUUUGCUGGUAUUGCUAUAUCAGUAUAGCUAUGUUGACAAAAACUUCUAGUGUAAAUGCAGCAUAUGCACACAGAAGGGUUUUUUCAGUUGGCAUAGUAACACCACCUCCCCAAAUUAUGUUAGCUGUGCUGACUGAAGCACUCUUGUGUUGUCAUAGCUGCAUCUACACUUGGGUCGACUGCAGGGAGGGGGUUCUUACCCUUGGCCAACAUAGCUAUGCUGAGAAAACUUUGUAGUGCAGACUUGGCCUAUUGCUGAAGAAAGUCUGAAGUUCUCUUCAAAGGAGAGCUUGUGGUGCAGCUGUUCAUGGUUUGCAACCUCUUUAUAACUGGUCAGCUGCCACAAGUCAGGUUUUGUUUUUGUCCUAGGAGUGUUCAAAGUGUGACCUGCAAGGUUUUAGAAUGAGGCUAUAGCCACCUUCACUUGUGCUAGAACUGCGGAAUAGAUGCCCUACCAUGCAAUGGGAGAGCUGCAUCUCCACAAUGAAGUUUAGGGAGACUAAAGUCUAUUCAGCUUUAACAAGAUUAGGUGUUGUUCAUAAGUUGCCAGUGCAGCUUUUCAAUAUUCAAAACGUAGGCAUCUCUUGUGCAACCUGACUCGCUUCUUUGCACACCUGUUGCACAUACAGAGGGGCAAAGUUGUCAGAUUAACUUUUGUUAAUUAUAAAUAUUAUGUAGAAUCUAUUCUGUUUGAGAAUUUACUGAUCAGAGCCAUUUGAUUUAUUUCUAAGACAUGCACAUUCUUUAUUUUAAUUAUAAACAUUCCAAUCCAUUCAAAAAAACCUUGCAUUUUAAAUGCAAUUAACAAGGUUUUCAGGAACCUGUUGAUAUCCUGGAAAUAGAAUAUAAUCUUCAACUCAAUGGGGAGGGCCAUCCGUCUGCCACUUAAUAAAUACACUUCUUCUGAGAGAAGAAUUAUUGCAAGACAUAUAGUGUGACACUUUCAAGAGUGUAGUCUCAGUGGACCCAAAAAAAUGUAUUAAUAUUAAGCUCCAGUUGGCCUUUUGGAUCAAGUUUUGAAAGACUUUCAGUUGGCAGCUGUACAUGAUGAUUCUGUUUCUGUUUUCCUUCCUUUGAGUAGGCCUUCUGAAAGUUUAUGCUGUGUCUUUUAGACUGUAACCGCUUUCCCUUUACUGUUUCAUGUUAAAUGGACAAUAUUCAUUUUCCAGAAUAUUAGAGGCUUUCUGUAAAACUACCCUGUGGGUUCAGAAGUUUACCAUCUUCUGUCUAAGCCUUGAUGACCUUAACUGGGCUCUGUCUGCAAGUUGACUCAACUCUGGCUGAAAUGAUGAAUCAUAGAAGAUUAGAAUUGGAAAAAACCUCAGGACAUCAUCUAGUCCAUCCCCCUGCUUAAAGCAGGACCAGCCUCAACUAAAUCAUCUCAUACUCCUGCAGAGCCAACAGCAGCUAUGGGAGAGCAAAUGAAUUUGUUCUCUGCCUAGUACAUUAGCAGUAGCAUUGUCAGCUAAAUUCAUCACCAUAAACAAAGGGUGGAAGUCAGUCAGCAAAAGCCCAGCUUGAUGAUUGGCUCACAGGUUAGGUUUACUGUGUUGGCAAUUGGAUAAUAUUUUGAGUUUUCAAAUGAGCAAAUUUGAUCCUGGGAGCCACUGACAGAAUAAAUAUGGGACCCAACAAUUUCAUUCUGCGCACAUAUUAAUACAACACCUUAGAGCAAAAUAUCGCUGCACUAGGGCAGUUUGCUGUAGGGUGGGUUAUGGUAGGUUUUUUAGCCUUUUGAGGUGGAUGGUCUGUUCAGUAUGUGUAGGUUAGUCAUAUCCCUACUGAUUCUCCUACUACUGCCAUAAUGAAGGAAGUGGAGACAGACAUAGUUGUACAUGAGUGCUGAUUGAACAAAACCAAUGCUGCUUCAUCAAAAGAGAACUGGUGCUGCUUCAUGUGUGGAACAGAUGAAACAUUUAGACCAAAUCACAGCAUUCCACCCAAUAUGGAGAACAUUUAAAAGACAAGAUAUAGGAAUGUUUUUAUUAAAAAUUGGUUUAUCUUGGAUGCUUGAUAGAAGCUGCUUUUGGGAGAGAGGCUUAUCCAUCGGGUGCAUAAUCUACAGACCAGUUCUAAUGAGCUGGCUUUAUGGAAGGGCCUUGUAAUAAUGUGUAAACACAGCAUAUCAGUUAGUAUUGUAAAGACUUUAAACACUAAGGGGGUAUUAAUCUUAGUUCCUAGGGAGUCAUAUAUUUAACUCUGCAUAUGUAGAGUUCUGAACUGAACCCUUUAAACUAGUAUUUCAUGCUGUAUAGUCCAGUAGCCAAAUGCAAGUUUUGGGCCCUGGUUUAGUGUCCAUAGAGUGUUGUUGUUUUUAUGUGGAUUCUGAAUUUCAGUAUCCUAAAUUCAAAACAAUUGCCUAAUGACAUCUUGUCAUGCUUGAACAUUUUGAAAUCUGAGCACCUCCCUCCAGACUCUCAAGCCAGGUGAGAGUGAAAUCACUUUAAUUACAUUUCAGUUAUUUUUAAUGAAAGCCACACACUAAUAUUUUGUUAUGGAACAUAAUUAGCAAAGAGGUACAUAUGUAAUGUCUCUGUAUUGGUGUAUGUAUAAUCCGUAUAUUUUGCUAGUGCACCCUCAUCUUCCCCCUAAGCCAUAUUCUUGUACUCACAAACCAUGCGGACAACAAAUCCUUGCAUAUUUACUCAUGAGAAUUAAUUUACAAAUAUUAGACAGUUAUAAACAUUAACAGAUUAUAAACCAAACAGAGAUUCAACUCUUUUCCUCAUUCACUGAUCCUUUAGACUCCACUUAGCACCCAGAGGCAAUAGUAAACAUUGUCCGUGGUAGAGUGUCAAUAUACGCACUUACAACUGGAAUUCACUAAAUGCAAGAAUUGAACAUAGCUGGCCCAUGGUAUUCUCUAACACAAUACCAAGGAUAGUAAGCACUCAAUGACAAAAAAAUCCAAACAUGUACAGGUGGGUCUAACACUAGCCUUCACUAUUCAAGAGUGAUAGGCCUACAAGCAAGUUCAUGAGAGGUUGACAUCAAGAAUAUUUUGUCAUACGAAUUGGAUCCUGUACAAGUGUCCAUGUUCGCUAACUUAUUACAUGAGGAUUUCUACAGCUGAGUCUAACCUAAAGAAGCAGCUGUAGACAGAAGUGUCAACUAGACAUACUCCACAAGAAAUAUCCUAUACAGUCAUUGAUGGUUCAACAAUUCCUUGGGUUACUCAAGCGGCAUCGUCAAGGACUUUGACCAAUUUCAAAGUCUAUGGUGAACAUAAGCUAGCAGCAGGUGAUGUACAUCUUGUCU